rnacentral:rRNA from 1 species
AUUGAACGCUGGCGGCAGGCCUAACACAUGCAAGUCGAGCGGAUGACGGGAGCUUGCUCCUUGAUUCAGCGGCGGACGGGUGAGUAAUACCUAGGAAUCUGCCUGAUAGUGGGGGACAACGUUUCGAAAGGAACGCUAAUACCGCAUACGUCCUACGAGAGAAAGCAGGGGACCUUCGGGCCUUGCGCUGUCAGAUGAGCCUAGGUCGGAUUAGCUAGUUGGUGAGGUAAUGGCUCACCAAGGCGACGAUCCGUAACUGGUCUGAGAGGAUGAUCAGUCACACUGGAACUGAGACACGGUCCAGACUCCUACGGGAGGCAGCAGUGGGGAAUAUUGGACAAUGGGCGAAAGCCUGAUCCAGCCAUGCCGCGUGUGUGAAGAAGGUCUUCGGAUUGUAAAGCACUUUAAGUUGGGAGGAAGGGCAGUAAGCUAAUACCUUGCUGUCUUGACGUUACCGACAGAAUAAGCACCGGCUAACUCUGUGCCAGCCGCCGCAGUAA